rnacentral:rRNA from 1 species
AUUGAACGCUGGCGGCAGGCCUAACACAUGCAAGUCGAACGAGCGGCGGGCGGGUGAGUAAUGCCUGGGCAUUGCACAGUCGGGGGGUAUAAAAGUUGGAAACGACUGCUAAUAGCGCAUACGAUGGGAUUGCCCAGGUGGGAGUAGCUAGUUGGUGAGGUAAAGGCUCACCAAGGCCACGAUCCCUAGCUGGUCUGAGAGGAUGACCAGCCACACGGGAACUGAGACACGGUCCAGACUCCUACGGGAGGCAGCAGUGGGGAAUAUUGGACAAUGGGGGAAACCCUGAUGCAGCCAUGCCGCGUGUGUGAAGAAGGCCUUCGGGUUGUAAAGCACUUUCAGCGAGGAGGCGUUACUCGCAGAAGAAGCACCGGCUAACUCCGUGCCAGCCGCCGCGGUAAUAC